rnacentral:rRNA from 1 species
AUGGGAAGAACAUGUGUGUUUGUUCAUCAUGGGGACAAAGACGCCUUUUUGAAAGGCAAUAAAGAACCGGACCCGGAUGAGCUAGACAUUGUGUUUGAUAGUAGUCCUAGCUAUGCGGAGCUCUUGCAACAAGUUAGGAAAGAUUUGAAUUGGAUGGACCCUAGUGAUAUCAUUGAGUUGGAGGGAAGGCAUAACGUUGGUUUUGGAAUGCACAUCCGUUGGAAGACAAUGCGUGUCAACUCGGAGCAAUGUUGGGUUGCAACGAAGAAGGUUGAGUCAAGUUUGCAUUUGGACUUGAACCGGAACCCCUCCCCUUUGGUUGCUAGUAGCCCCCCACCCUUGAAGCAAGAUGAAAUUGUUGAACCUCUUUUGACCCAAGAAGUGAGGCCAACAUUGAGCCCGUGUAGAAACAACCAAGAUGAAUCUUUGCAAGAGGACAAUGAUGAGUAUGCGGACGAUGACAAUGAAGUUGAUCUCCAUGACAACAAUGUGGGUGAUCUCGACAAAUAUCAUUUGCAAGAGACAAUGGACCAUUCCAUCCCUUUUUCCCGUGCAUAUGCAUCGGACUCGGAUGACGAUGGUCCCGAUGAACAAGUUGAUGCGGAGGGGUUCACGGUGAAGGAGGCCGAAGCUUUCGAGAAGGUAUUUGGUCGGGAUCAUCGGACUACAUUGUUCAAGGAUAUUAGUCUCGCGGAUGAAGCCGUGGUAGAAGGUGGCCAAUGUGUAGCUCUUGGGGUUAGGCCAAGCUCUCACCGUGAUUUGGUAGACGACAAGAACCGGAUUGCUAAAGGUUCUAAGUUCGACAACUUGUUGGAUUUGAAGAUGUGGCUCGACAACUACUCGGUUACGCAUUAUCGUCCACACAAGGUGGUGCACUCGGACGUCAAUGUGCGCUACACGGUUGCAUGUGCAUGUGAAGAUGAAAAGGAGGUCCAACUUGGACUUACAAGAGGCCGUGGUGGUGGUAGAGGUCGUGGAAAGGAGGUCCAACAAGGAGUGGCAAGACGCCGUGGCGGUUGUCCGUGGAUUGUGCGUGCAAGACCAUGGAAAGGAGGUCCUACUUGGCAUGCAGUGAGUUGUGUGCCAACUCACAUGUCCCAAGGCAAAAGGGUGGAUGGCAAGAUUGUGUCCCAAGACCACAAACAACUCACUUCCGAGUCCAUCGCUUACAGGCUCUCGAACUCAAUAUCCACACUUCCAACAAUGAGCGUCCAACAUGUCAUUGACCUUGUGAAAGCCAUCUUUCAUUACAAGGUGAAAUACGGCAAGGAAUGGAAGGCGAAGCAAGCCGCAUUUAAGAUGUUGUAUGGUACAUGGGAGGAAGCAUACAACCGAAUCCCGAGGUUGUUGUUAGCCAUGGCCGCGACAAACCCGGGCAUGGUUCAUGUGGUCGAGCCUCAUGGGCACCAAACAACGGUUCAUGAAGGAAGGAAAGUCAGAGUAUUUGGCCGUGCUUUUUGGGUGUUCGAGCAAUGUGUGAGGCCUUUCGAACAUUGUAGGCCGGUCAUCGCAAUUGAUGGCACGUUCUUGACCGGACAAUACAAGGGCACCUUGUUGGUUGCGAUAGCAAGUGAUGCCAAUAACCGGGUGUUGCCAUUGGCAUUUGCUUUGGUUGAGGUGGAAAACAAUGACAACUGGGAGUGGUUUCUGCAUCUUUUGAGGACGAAGGUGUUACCCGCUCAAAGGGAAAUUUGUGUCAUAUUGGAUCGGAAUCAAGGAAUUCUUAACGCCGUGGAGAUUGACAUUCCCGGGCAUGCUCUGUUGCACCAUCGAUGGUGCAUGAGGCACUUUUGUUCGAACUUCUAUAGGGCAUGUGGCCUUAAGGAGUUGGCCGAUGAUCUUCAAGAUUGUUGUCUCGCUUUCUCCGAUAAGCGCUUCGCCACUUUGUACAACAAAUUCCUCGCACACAAAAAACUUGAUCCCGGGGGUCAAGAGUUUCUCAAUAGGCACAUUCAAUACCGGAACAAGUGGGCACGUGCUUUUGAUGAAGAUGGCCGGAGAUACGGUCAAAUGACAAGCAAUAUGGCCGAAUGCUUCAAUAGGGUGCUCAAAGGUGCAUGUGGAUUACCCGUGACGGCAAUAGUUCAAUACACAUUUUACAAGAUGAAUGCAUACUUUGUAAAGUACUCGAUGGAAACCGAUGCACAGAUAGCGGGUGAGAACCCACGAAAGUACAAGUACAAGCUCCCACCCAAAGUUGAUGAAUGGUUGCUAUUUCAAUCACGGAAGGCGGACUCAGAAGAAGCUAUAUUAUAUGACAAUGAGGAGUGGAAGUACGAAGUGAAAGAGCCAGGAGGAACCACAAACGAUGGCCGGCAACAUGGAGGUCGGGCUUUCAAGGUGUCGUUAACACAAUGUGAUUGCACUUGCGGGAGGCCAUUGUUGCUUCAUCUCCCAUGCUCACAUUUGUAUGCCGCCGGCCACGUUAGGAAUGUGGACAUCAAUCACCCACGCACCAUGAGGGAGUCCGAGUUCUCAAUCAUGACGGUCAAGAAAACAUGGGCUCCCCGCUUUCACCCAUACUUUGACCAAUCACAAUGGCCGGAGUAUCAUGGAGUUCAACUAUGGCCGGAUCCGGAGUUGAAGGUUGUUAAACGGGGUUGA